UCAGACGAUGCGUCAUGCAUAUCAAUAAGCGGAGGAAAAGAAACUAACAAGGAUUCCCUCAGUAACGGCGAGUGAAGCGGGAAGAGCUCAAAUUUGAAAUCUUGAAAGGUCACCUUUCACGAAUUGUAGUUUAAAGAAGUGUUUUCUGUUACGAUCGUAAUAUAAGUUCUUUGGAAUAGGACAUCACAGAGGGUGAGAAUCCCGUCUAUGAUUGCGAUUUGUAGCUUUGUGAUACACUUUCAAAGAGUCGGGUUGUUUGGGAAUGCAGCCCAAAACGGGAGGUAAAUUUCUUCUAAGGCUAAAUAUUGGCGAGAGACCGAUAGCGAACAAGUACCGUGAGGGAAAGAUGAAAAGAACUUUGAAAAGAGAGUUAAAUAGUACGUGAAAUUGUCAAAAGGGAAGCGUUUAACACCAGUGUUGUUUUCUGAAAAUCAACCUCUGUUAGCUUUAUGCAUGUUUGUUUAGACCUAAUCAGCUAUCUUGCAUGUUCUAUUGUUUGCAGUGGUGCACUUUUCAGUUUACAGGUCAACAUCAGUUUUUUUUACCGUAAAAAAGUUAAAGAAAGGUAGCUCAUGGCUCCGGUCGUGAGUGUUAUAGUCUUUUUCCUAUGCGGUAGGAGAGACUGAGGUCUGCAGUGUAGGCUAUUUGGCUAGAUACUCAGGUGCUAUGUGAUACCAUUUCAUAAACAACUUGUUGAUUAUGUUCUGUCUAUUGCAUACUCGCUUGUACUAUCAUACCUACGCUUAGGAUGUUGAAGACUCUACAGAGAUA
rnacentral:rRNA from 1 species